AGAUGAGCCCAAUCAUAUCGUGCUUGUGGCAGAGUGACCAACUUCAGGUUGUCAUAUCUCUCCUUUAAGCCGUUCCACAAGAUAAGUGGAUCUUUGACUAUGAGAUAUUCAAUUUUCAAACCUUCAUCAAGGUGAUGGCGCAAGAAAAUCAAGGCCUUAGUACAAUCUUGGGUGGAUGCUUUAUCUCUGUCUUUAAUGGCGUCUCCAAGACCCACAGUAUCUAAGUGGAUUUCAGCAUCCAACACCCAUGUCAUAUAGUUCUUGCCCGAAAUUUCAAGGGCAACGAACUUUCUUUUCAUAAUAUUAGACAUAAUUAAAACCAAAUUCAGAAAAAGGGAAAUACCUUAAUUUUCUCAAGAGGAUUCUGGAGACGGUAGAGUCUCGUACUGAUAACGUGUUAUGAAAUAAUAUAAGAACAAGAACAAUAAUACAAGAACACGAACAAUAG
rnacentral:lncRNA from 1 species